rnacentral:rRNA from 1 species
GACGAACGCUGGCGGCGUGCUUAACACAUGCAAGUCGAACGGAAAGGCCUCUUUCGGGGGGUACUCGAGUGGCGAACGGGUGAGUAACACGUGAGUAACCUGCCCUUGACUUUGGGAUAACUUCAGUAAACUGGGGCUAAUACCGGAUAGGAGCUCCUGCUGCAUGGUGGGGGUUGGAAAGUUUCGGCGGUUGGGGAUGGACUCGCGGCUUAUCAGCUUGUUGGUGGGGUAGUGGCUUACCAAGGCUUUGACGGGUAGCCGGCCUGAGAGGGUGACCGGCCACAUUGGGACUGAGAUACGGCCCAGACUCCUACGGGAGGCAGCAGUGGGGAAUAUUGCACAAUGGGUGGAAGCCUGAUGCAGCAACGCCGUGUGCGGGAUGACGGCCUUCGGGUUGUAAACCGCUUUCGCUCAUGACGAAGCUUUGUGUGACGGUAGUGGGUAAAGAAGCACCGGCUAACUACGUG